CAACCUCUCAAGCUCUGCUUGGUGUUGGGCCGCGCCGGUGCACUGCGCUGGCGGGUCUUAAAAUCAGUGGCGGUGCCGUCCGGGCUCUAAGCGUAGUAACAACUCUCGCUCUGGAGACCUGGCGGUGUCUUGCCAGACAAUUUUUACAUUUUUCAAGA
rnacentral:misc_RNA from 1 species